rnacentral:rRNA from 1 species
GAACGCUGGCGGCAUGCCUUACACAUGUAAGUCGAACGGCAGCGCGGGGCAACCUGGCGGCGAGUGGCGAACGGGUGAGUAAUAUAUCGGAACGUGCCCUGGAGUGGGGGAUAACGCAGCGAAAGUUGCGCUAAUACCGCAUACGAUCUAAGGAUGAAAGCGGGGGAUUCGCAAGAACCUCGUGCUCCUGGAGCGGCCGAUAUCUGAUUAGCUAGUUGGUGGGGUAAAGGCCUACCAAGGCAUCGAUCAGUAGCUGGUCUGAGAGGACGACCAGCACACUGGAACUGAGACACGGUCCAGACUCCUACGGGAGGCAGCAGUGGGGAAUUUUGGACAAUGGGCGAAAGCCUGAUCCAGCAAUGCCGCGUGAGUGAAGAAGGCCUUCGGGUUGUAAAGCUCUUUUGUCAGGGAAGAAACGGUAUGGGCUAAUAUCCCGUACUAAUGACGGUACCUGAAGAAUAAGCACCGGCUAACUACGUGCCAGCAGCCGCGGUAAUACGUAGGGUGCAAGCGUUAAUCGGAAUUACUGGGCGUAAAGCGUGCGCAGGCGGUUUUGUAAGUUUGUCGUGAAAGCCCCGGGCUCAACCUAGGAAUUGCGAUGAAGACUGCAAGGCUUGAAUCUGGCAGAGGGGGGUAGAAUUCCACGUGUAGCAGUGAAAUGCGUAGAGAUGUGGAGGAACACCGAUGGCGAAGGCAGCCCCCUGGGUCAAGAUUGACGCUCAUGCACGAAAGC